CCUACGGGAGGCAGCAGUGAGGACUAUUGGUCAAUUGACGAGAGUCUGAACCAGCCAAGUAGCGUGAAGGAUGACUGCCCUAUGGGUUGUAAACUUCUUUUAUAUGGGAAUAAAAUGUUCCACGUGUGGGAUUUUGUAUGUACCAUAUGAAUAAGGAUCGGCUAACUCCGUGCCAGCAGCCGAGGUAAUACGGAGGAUCCGAGCGUUAUCCGGAUUUAUUGGGUAUAAAGGGAGCGUAGGUGGAUUGUUAAGUCAGUUGUGAAAGUUUGCGGCUCAACCGUAAAAGUGCAGUUGAAACUGGCAGUCGUGAGUACAGUAGAGGUGGGCGGAAUUCGUGGUGUAGCGGUGAAAUGCUUAGAUAUCACGAAGAACUCCGAUUGCGAAGGCAGCUCACUGGACUGCAACUGACACUGAGGCUCGAAAGUGUGGGUAUCAAACAGGAUUAGAUACCCUUGUAGUC
rnacentral:rRNA from 1 species